rnacentral:rRNA from 1 species
UACGGGGGGGGUAAGCGUUGUUCGGAAUUACUGGGCGUAAAGCGCACGUAGGCGGCUUUGUAAGUUAGAGGUGAAAGCCCGGAGCUCAACUUCGGAAUUGCCUUUAAGACUGCAUCGCUAGAAUCAUGGAGAGGUCAGUGGAAUUCCGAGUGUAGAGGUGAAAUUCGUAGAUAUUCGGAAGAACGCCAGUGGCGAAGGCGACUGACUGGACAUGUAUUGACGCUGAGGUGCGAAAGCGUGGGGAGCAAACAGG